rnacentral:rRNA from 1 species
GAUGAACGCUGGCGGCGUGCCUAAUACAUGCAAGUCGAGCGAACAGACGCGGAGCUUGCUCCUCUGACGUUAGCGGCGGACGGGUGAGUAACACGUGGAUAACCCACCUAUAAGACUGGGAUAACUUCGGGAAACCGGCGCUAAUACCGGAUAAUAUAUUGAACCGCAUGGUUCAGUAGUGAAAGUCGGUUUUGCUGUCACUUAUAGAUGGAUCCGCGCCGCAUUAGCUAGUUGGUAAGGUAACGGCUUACCAAGGCAACGAUGGGUAGCCGACGUGAGAGGGUGGUCGGCCACACUGGAACUUAGACACGGUCCAUGCGCCUACGGGAGGGAGCAGUAGGGAAUCUUCCGCAAUGGGCGAAAGCCUGACGGAGCAGCGCCGCGUGAGUGAUGAAGGUCUUCGGAUCGUAAAACUCUGUUAUUAGUGAAGAACAAAUGUGUAAGUAACUAUGCACGUCUUGACGGUACCUAAUCAGAAAGCCACGGCUAACUACGUG